rnacentral:Y_RNA from 1 species
GGCUGGUCCAAGUGCAGUGGUGUUUACAACUAAUUAAUCACAACCAGUUACAGAUUUCUUUGUUCCUUCUCUACCCUCAUUUCUUUAGUUGACUAGCCCAAG